GGUGGUUCUCGGGUAUUGAUGAUGCACCCUGGAAUGGGGCUCCUUCCUCUCUGGUUCCGGGUGCGUUAUCUGAGAACCGCA
rfam:Myotis davidii contig77642, whole genome shotgun sequence.